CACAAUUUUUUUUUCUAGUGGGGAUUGAUGACCUAUGGCAAUCCGAGGGUCUUGGGUCCUUUUUGCCCAGGAUAAU
ensembl:misc_RNA